UACGUAGGGUGCAAGCGUUGUCCGGAAUUAUUGGGCGUAAAGAGCUCGUAGGCGGUCUGUCGCGUCGGAUGUGAAAAUCCAGGGCUCAACCCUGGACCUGCAUUCGAUACGGGCAGACUAGAGUUCGGUAGGGGAGACUGGAAUUCCUGGUGUAGCGGUGAAAUGCGCAGAUAUCAGGAGGAACACCGGUGGCGAAGGCGGGUCUCUGGGCCGAAACUGACGCUGAGAAGCGAAAGCGUGGGGAGCGAACAGG
rnacentral:rRNA from 1 species